ensembl:lncRNA
GCGCUACGAACCGGAGCAAGGACUGAUCUCGCCUCAUAAUGAGGCGGUGACCUCGUAUUUGCUCCGGGAAAAGUCCAGAUUUAGACGACGUCAUUGUGUCCGCCUGUGAGACGUAUUGUGAGACGGGACGCAGGAGCUUCAGGUUCAGGCGGAACACUCAUUGCGGGCGGAAGCUGCGAAGGAUUCAGUGCGGAGUCGAGCGAGAACAAAGAGGCUGCUGGAAUCGAGACAAAGUGCGCUGGCUGAUGACGAGGUGGAACUCUGGAAAUCCGCCACCGUAGAGCUCACGUCGGACGGAGGGGACGGCGGGGGGAAAAUGACUCCACAUUUCAUGAAUCGCAUUUUCUGCCUGAAACGAUCGCUUCAGCGACCCUCCUGGGUGAGAGCUUGUGGAAGGAAUAAUCCUCUAUAUGUGUCAAGCUAAGAGAAGGAUUUUAGAGGUCAAUCCAUCAGUCUCUAUUUGUCAGUUUACUGGCAUAUUUAACACUUUAUCUUCCGACUAAUGGAAUUUUAAAAGCUAGAUUCAAAUGAGCAACCAUAUCAUUCUCAGGUCAGAAGACUUAUACGUUACAUG